UAAAAAAACCAGCCGCCCCCUCAAAAUUAGUUACGCCUGUUGUCCCCUUUAAAUACAUCCUGCUGUACUUACUAUAUUAAUAUAAUAAUAAUAAUAAUGUACUCUUAGAAAAUAUACUCUACGUCAAUCACAUGUUACGUCUUAGUUUGUUUUUUCUUUGAACAACUGUCUUUUAGCUCUCGUAUACUUAUGUUUACACAAAUUCAGUUACUGUGCUGUCGAACGUUUCAGAAAAAGUUCUAUCAAGUAUCAUUGUAAAUCGGAGCAAAUUACCGGUAGAAAACUUAUUCACAGA